rnacentral:ncRNA from 1 species
CAUCGUCUCGGAAAUGUGCGCCUGCAGCGAUACGUGGGAGGCCGUCCACGCCACCGCCAGGACAAUCUUCUCCACUCUCCAAGCGAGAUGGGAUGUUGAGCGUCCACCAACGGCAAGGCGACGCAGGCGGGCCAGACGGCGGGCGAGGGACGCAAAUAAUGGUCCCUCAGGCCCUGCGGCACGGCAACAACCCGCGCCGCAAGGGCCACCGUAAGCUGGAAAGUUACUAAUCUUUUAUCUCUUUUCUUAUCGUUUCUUUCCAGUUUUCUUUUUCUCUUCUCUCUUCUAUUUCCAGCUUUCUUCUAUCUCUUUCUCCUUCUUCUUGUUUCCUCUAUCAAAAUUUCGUUUCAGGAGAACUGCCUCACGGGCUUGGAGUGGUGACCAACGAUGCAGACCCCCCAUUGCCCACCCGAAGUGUGGGCGAUAGGACCAAAGGGACCGCGUCGCACCACGGAAAGCAGCGUAAUAAGCAGAAUCAUCAGACCAGAUCGCCGCAGAAGAUGCGUCGUGACCCAGGGUGCAACCGCACACACGACUCGGCAUGAAGUAAUACGCACCACAAGCUUACCGGCCGAGUUGGGUGAGUCGGAGAGGGGGAUGGAAUAUGCUCACUCUUCGUUACCAAAAAAAAAAAAAAAAACGCAGACCCCCCAUUGCCCACCCGAAGUGUGGGCAAUAGGGCCAAAGGGACCGCGUCGCACCACGGAAAGCAGCGUAAUCAGCAGAAUCAGCAGACCAGAUCGCCGCAGAAGAUGCGUCGUGACCCAGGGUGCAACCGCACACACGACUCCGCAUGAAGUAAUACGCACCACAACGUACUGGCCGAGUUGGGUGAGUCGGAGAGGGGGAUGGAAUAUGAUCACUCUUCGUUAAAAAAAAUCCAAAAAAACAGAUUUCCUCUGUCCUUAUCUACUAUCAAGCGAGACCACAGCCAAGGGAACGGGCUUGGAUGCACUAGCGAGGAAAGAAGACCCUGUUGAGCUUGACUCUAGUCUGGCAUUGUAAGACGAUAUUGGAGGUGCAGCAUAGGUGGGAGGGCUUCCUUGUGGAUCUCGCCUCUGAGAUACCACCACUCUUACUGUUGCCUUACUUACAUGAUUGGGUGGAACAAGCGCGGACCCCAGGUCCGGAUCGUGCGCGCACCUCCUCCGGGGGGCUGUGGCGGCGGUUCGCCUGCGCGCGCCCAAUGCACCGUGUUUCUCGCUCAGCGUCCAGUGUGUCGCUGGGUGGUGCCGCCGGGGAGACUGCAUCGUAGCAUCGUCGUGUGUAGCGUGUUACCCGCUUGUCCGACCAUGAACCGUGGCCCACAAGGUACAAGCUUGCGUACGUCGGUGCAUUCGUGGUGCGUUGCUUCUGCGCGGUCGAUCGUUUAUGAUGUCACGUUUGCCCCCGGGUUCCGCGCGCGCCGGCUCGAGACUCCUGGACAGGUCCUUUCGGUCACGUCAUGGACAGUG